rnacentral:rRNA from 1 species
UACGAAGGGGACUAGCGUUGUUCGGAAUUACUGGGCGUAAAGCGCACGUAGGCGGUUUUGUUAGUCAGGGGUGAAAUCCCGGGGCUCAACCUCGGAACUGCCUUUGAUACUGCAAGUCUCGAGUCCGAUAGAGGUGGGUGGAAUUCCUAGUGUAGAGGUGAAAUUCGUAGAUAUUAGGAAGAACACCGGUGGCGAAGGCGGCCCACUGGAUCGGUACUGACGCUGAGGUGCGAAAGCGUGGGGAGCAAACAGG